CUGAGUAUUAGGCAAAUCCGGUACUCGUUAAGGCUGAGCUGUGAUGGGGAGAAGACAUUGUGUCUUCGAGUCGUUGAUUUCACACUGCCGAGAAAAGCCUCUAGAUAGAAAAUAGGUGCCCGUACCGCAAACCGACACAGGUAGUCAAGAUGAGAAUUCUAAGGUGAGCGAGCGAACUCUCGUUAAGGAACUCGGCAAAAUGACCCCGUAACUUCGGGAGAAGGGGUGCUCUUUAGGGUUAACGCCCAGAAGAGCCGCAGUGAAUAGGCCCAAGCGACUGUUUAUCAAAAACACAGGUCUCUGCUAAACCGUAAGGUGAUGUAUAGGGGCUGACGCCUGCCCGGUGCUGGAAGGUUAAGAGGAGUGGUUAGCUUCUGCGAAGCUACGAAUCGAAGCCCCAGUAAACGGCGGCCGUAACUAUAACGGUCCUAAGGUAGCGAAAUUCCUUGUCGGGUAAGUUCCGACCCGCACGAAAGGCGUAACGAUUUGGGCACUGUCUCAACGAGAGACUCGGUGAAAUCAUAGUACCUGUGAAGAUGCAGGUUACCCGCGACAGGACGGAAAGACCCCGUGGAGCUUUACUGUAGCCUGAUAUUGAAAUUCGGCACAGCUUGUACAGGAUAGGUAGGAGCCUUUGAAACGUGAGCGCUAGCUUACGUGGAGGCGCUGGUGGGAUACUACCCUAGCUGUGUUGGCUUUCUAACCCGCACCACUUAUCGUGGUGGGAGACAGUGUCAGGCGGGCAGUUUGACUGGGGCGGUCGCCUCCUAAAAGGUAACGGAGGCGCUCAAAGGUUCCCUCAGAAUGGUUGGAAAUCAUUCAUAGAGUGUAAAGGCAUAAGGGAGCUUGACUGCGAGACCUACAAGUCGAGCAGGGUCGAAAGACGGACUUAGUGAUCCGGUGGUUCCGCAUGGAAGGGCCAUCGCUCAACGGAUAAAAGCUACCCCGGGGAUAACAGGCUUAUCUCCCCCAAGAGUUCACAUCGACGGGGAGGUUUGGCACCUCGAUGUCGGCUCAUCGCAUCCUGGGGCUGUAGUCGGUCCCAAGGGUUGGGCUGUUCGCCCAUUAAAGCGGUACGCGAGCUGGGUUCAGAACGUCGUGAGACAGUUCGGUCCCUAUCCGUCGUGGGCGUAGGAAAUUUGAGAGGAGCUGUCCUUAGUACGAGAGGACCGGGAUGGACAUACCUCUGGUGUACCAGUUGUCGUGCCAACGGCAUAGCUGGGUAGCUAUGUGUGGACGGGAUAAGUGCUGAAAGCAUCUAAGCAUGAAGCCCCCCUCAAGAUGAGAUUUCCCAACUUCGGUUAUAAGAUCCCUCAAAGAUGAUGAGGUUAAUAGGUUCGAGGUGGAAGCAUGGUGACAUGUGGAGCUGACGAAUACUAAUCGAUCGAAGACUUAAUCAA
rnacentral:rRNA from 1 species